AUUCCCGUCGUGAUCCACACAAGCAACCUCCAAAUCAAAUCAACUUCUCCUCUUCUCGUCGCACAAGAUCAACGGCGCACGCGAUGAUGCUGAGCAACAGCAGCCGCGCUCCACGCUUCCUCUGCCUCCUCGUGCUGCUGCUCCUCCUCACCGUCUUCGCGCGGCGCUCCGGCGCCACCAGGCCCCUGCGGCAACCGGGCGCCGCCGGCGGUGGUGGUGUGGCCGCCGCGGCCGUGCGGACGAUCGCUCUCCCCGCCGCGGCCUUGACGAGGGACGCGGAGGUGCUCGUGCCGGCCGGGAAGCGGGUCGAGGCGCUGCUCGGCAUGAAGCCCAGGUCGAGAGCGCCGCCGUCGGGCCCCAGCAAACGAACCAACGACAUCAAGAGCUGACGAUCCAGCUGCCUGCUCUGCUCUGCUCGGCUCUUCUCUGAUGCCGAUCGACCUUUUUUCUUUUCUUUUUCUCUUGGGGUAGCUCGUUUAGGUUCC
rnacentral:rRNA from 1 species